AGAGUUUGAUCCUGGCUCAGGACGAACGCUGGCGGCGCGCCUAACACAUGCAAGUCGAACGAGAGAUGAGGAGCUUGCUCUUCAAAUCGAGUGGCGAACGGGUGAGUAACGCGUGAGGAACCUGCCUCAAAGAGGGGGACAACAGUUGGAAACGACUGCUAAUACCGCAUAAGCCCACGGCUCGGCAUCGAGCAGAGGGAAAAGGAGCAAUCCGCUUUGAGAUGGCCUCGCGUCCGAUUAGCUAGUUGGUGAGGUAACGGCCCACCAAGGCGACGAUCGGUAGCCGGACUGAGAGGUUGAACGGCCACAUUGGGACUGAGACACGGCCCAGACUCCUACGGGAGGCAGCAGUGGGGAAUAUUGCACAAUGGGGGAAACCCUGAUGCAGCGACGCCGCGUGGAGGAAGAAGGUCUUCGGAUUGUAAACUCCUGUUGUUGAGGAAGAUAAUGACGGUACUCAACAAGGAAGUGACGGCUAACUACGUGCCAGCAGCCGCGGUAAAACGUAGGUCACAAGCGUUGUCCGGAAUUACUGGGUGUAAAGGGAGCGCAGGCGGGAGAACAAGUUGGAAGUGAAAUCCAUGGGCUCAACCCAUGAACUGCUUUCAAAACUGUUUUUCUUGAGUAGUGCAGAGGUAGGCGGAAUUCCCGGUGUAGCGGUGGAAUGCGUAGAUAUCGGGAGGAACACCAGUGGCGAAGGCGGCCUACUGGGCACCAACUGACGCUGAGGCUCGAAAGUGUGGGUAGCAAACAGGAUUAGAUACCCUGGUAGUCCACACCGUAAACGAUGAUUACUAGGUGUUGGAGGAUUGACCCCUUCAGUGCCGCAGUUAACACAAUAAGUAAUCCACCUGGGGAGUACGACCGCAAGGUUGAAACUCAAAGGAAUUGACGGGGGCCCGCACAAGCAGUGGAGUAUGUGGUUUAAUUCGACGCAACGCGAAGAACCUUACCAAGUCUUGACAU
rnacentral:rRNA from 1 species